AUGCAAAGAACUAAGCAAUUUCCUUUCUUCCAACUGAUGAAUUUCCGUUCGCGGUGGAGGACGAACGGGGAUCGAUCAAUGCCGGUCGGUUAUAGGGACGGCUCGUCGUCGCCCUCGGGGGCGGGGGCGGCGGGGGAGCCGUCCGCGGUCGUCGCGUGCUGGGCGGCGGAGGAGGAGGAGGCGGAGCGCCGGAUCUCGUCGAUGCGGGCGGCGGCGUCGGACAUGCUGGGCCGCCGGUCGGGGUGCUGCGCGGAGCAGUCGAUGGCGAGCUGGAGCAGCUGCACCAUCUCCUCCUCCACGCUCUGGUACCUGAGGAGCUCCUGGUCGAACACCUCGGCGGUCCACUCCUCCCGGACCACGGACUGCACCCAGCGCGGCAGGUCCAGGCCCUCCUCGUUCGCCACGGCGUGGGUGGGCGCCUUGCCAGUGAGCAGCUCCAGCAGCAGCACGCCGAAGCUGUAG
rnacentral:rRNA from 1 species